rnacentral:rRNA from 1 species
GGAUUAGAUACCCUGGUAGUCCUAGCUGUAAACGAUGGGCACUGGGUAGAGGGGGUGUCAGUACCUUCUCUGCCGUAGCUAAUGUGUUAAGUGCCCCGCCUGGGGAGUACGGUCGCAAGACUAAAACUCAAAGGAAUUGACGGGGGCUCACACAAGCGGUGGAGCAUGUGGUUUAAUUCGAAACAACGCGAAGAACCUUACCCGGGUUUGAAAUUCACGGAUGCUGCCUGUGAAAGCAGGUUCGCUGCCUUUCGGGGUGAAACGUGGACAGGUGUUGCAUGGCUGUCGUCAGCUCGUGUUG